rfam:Neonectria ditissima strain R09/05 contig_85, whole genome shotgun sequence.
GGUGACUUGGCCGAGUGGUUAAGGCGCUGUGUUUAGGUUCUCUAUCAGAAACCAGACCCGCAGUGGGAAACCGCGCAAGUUCGAACCUUGCAGUCAUCA